GACUGACUGACUGACUGACUGACUGACUGACUGACUGACUGAUUCUCGAUCGACGGACUGUCUGAUCGAUGGACUGUCUGAUCGAUGGACCGACUGACUGACUGACUGAUUCUCGAUCGAUGGAGCGCACAACGAGUCGCGAGUUGGACGCUUCUCUGCAGAGAGAUACUGGCAUCUGUUCGUGUUCGUGGAUGCGAUGAAGUCGGUGCUGUGUGGCGGAGUUGGCGUUCGUCUGGGCGCGUUGGUGCGUUUCUUUCGUUUCCGCGCAUAGCGUAAUGUCGUGCGGAACGGCUGAAUCUGGGUAUCCAGAGUAUGCGACUCGAUUUUUUGACUUUUUCCCAGAGUCGAUUGAAGAAACAGAGCACGUCUCUAACGAUGAUAGCGUCUGCAAGGCUGGCACCAACGACAGCCAGUUGCCUGCGAGGAUCAGAUCCUGGAUGAUACGCUGAGGUAAAGUUUAGUGUGAUGGAUUGAGUUUCCUGUACUCAUACAGGAUACAGAUACGCGCAGUGAGCUCGAAACGAAGCGACAUGGUCAGCGGCGGUGUCUGCGCCUUGGACGAGUUUAUCGGCGCUCAUGCACGUGAACGGCUCGUUGCAUGGUUCGCUCCGCCCUCGUGCAUAGCGUUGCGACCAGGUUCCGUCGAGCGCACACCGUACCCGUGUCGAAGAGGUAUUCGCUGGGUCUCUGUGCAGCGAACUGGCAGAGUGAUUGUGCAAGCUGUUCCAAUGAAGGCUGGUCGUCUGCAGAGCGCCGCAACGAGGGCUGAAACGUUUUUCCGGUGGAUAUCUGUGUGAAAAAGAUGAUCAAAUACGCAGCUUAUGGAGGCGCAUAUUACCGAGUGCCAUUCGGGUGCAGUCACGCAUGUUUGGGCAUGUAUUGUGCACUCCAGUAUCGCACCUAUCUUGGACCGUUUAAGCGAGGUAUUGCGGGCGGCGUCGGCUAUCUUCCCAGCAUACACGCGUACUGUGCAGCGCUUGCGAGGCGUAGGUCACCUGCUGACAGCGAUGCACCAUUUUGUGGCCAAGUACGCGUUGCUAGCCUUGCGCACAGCAUACGGCGCCCGCACCGAUAUCGCUCACCCUAAAAACACAAGCUCCAUUUGCCCGAUCGCAGAAGCAACUUGACAUCUCUGGGAAUGGCGGCAAAAGAAUGGACGCUCCCGUUGGGUACUGAGUGCCAUGAGCAUAGAAGUCAUCUGCGAUGCCGGGCGCGGAGCAAGACUCACCGUGCGCUAGCGUCUCAGGUGGACGUAGGUACAACGUCCGUUAUCAAUCGUAGCGUCUUGGAAGAGCAGCGUUCAAAACACUGCGCAGAGAAUGCCAUACAAGUCUAGCGCGGCGAAGGCGAAAUCGAUAGAUGCAGAGCAGUGAAUCCGGACUGCCUUUGUAUGCAUGCCCUUUUGUUUUCGCAGGUUUUCCUCGAAGUUUUUUCCUGAAGAAACGUAUCCAGUUCAUUGCAGAAACGUCGCUGGACGACUUGGUGUUGACUCCGAUAGCAUAGGAGUACAAAGACCCGUCUCGCCAAAGUAAGCCGAGCCACGCUCAGCAGGUGGAUGACGCACACGUCUCGUCAUCCGCAUCCAGUGCGCAGUGCAUCCGAAACAAAUGCCAUCAAACUCCAUCCGCACACCUGCAUCGUCAUCAAUCCAUUCCCCCCAUUUUCCCCAUUUCCGGAACAGACGACUAGUUCAGAACAGAGCAGACGCCGUGCUCGAAUAAGAGCGAUCCCGCCGCCACAAACAUGUAUUCCAUGUGGUCUGCACGUAUGGGGUCCGGUCCCAUGACAUCACUGUAGACACAUGUGUAUAGCACUAUGCUGCGUCCGUCGUGCGCUACAAUUGGCCUCUGCGAGCAGAGACCAGGCAUUCGAACAUCGUCGCGACGAGCAUUUGCGGGGCUCAUGCAUGGCCUCUCGGCUCAGGACAGACAGCGGAGACACGUUUACCGCCAUGAUGGAGACAGUCAGAAUAUCUGUGUGCAUGCACUUUGUGUAACCGACGCCUGAGUCGAGCAAUGAAACUCCUCUCCAACCGUUCGAGGUGGAUGACGAGCAAGUCUCGGUGGCGGGCGUGAAUUCCGGUUUCAUUGAUAUGGGCGCCGUCGCCGAGCUCAUGAGGGGGUAGGGGACGGAGCCAGAGACCUCCAAGGCAUGCAGCUGUAGCUGCUCAGUUCUGCCAGCGCACGGCAGUAUCGGGAGUCGGGCAUGAUGGACACGAAGAGACAUCCCGGGAGCUAGAAUGACGGCAUCAGGACCGAACUCGACGCUUUAAGCUCCGGAUCGAGCAGCGAAGGCAGACGCUUUGCGCGCUUCAUUCGUAGUGUUCGUGAGCGUCCAAAUGCAUGAUCCAGACCAUCCUUGGGAGGAGUACAUCAAAACGCGAUGCGGCCUACAUCGGUCUCGUCUGUACGCACACAUGAGGCGUGCAUUCUCCAACUUGUUCAUUGAGUCGCAAAAGCAAAUGACCCGCAGGCCACUUGGUUCGGAAGCGGCCUAGUGUACUGGACGUGCUUCUGCUCGCAAAAGCUGCACUUCUGCCUCUUCGGCGAGAGCGUGCCACACGGGAUAUGUCCGCAGAUGAUCCCGUCACUUCUGUUUGCAUGGCAAAGGGCAUUGGACUCGAUCUUAAGUCAUUGCAAAAAAUCGCCUCCAUUGGAGCCUGCGUCACCGUUUUGCGCGGAGGCUUCGCACAGAAAUCAAAAUUUCUCGACUUGUUCUAUAGCCUGGACUCUAUCUGCUAAUCGUUUCAUCACGGGCAUCAUCCCGUUCUGCAAAUCCUCUAUCGAAGGGGAAAGCGUGCACUCGCUCAUGUUACGGAAACCGUACUCGCCGAGCGAAUCGCCCACAAGUCACCCGUGAUCGUUAUGUACAGCACCAGACACGGAAACGGAGCAGGGUAUUGAGCAGAACCUUCUCUACCCGUCAAAGAAAAGUACCAAGCUAUGAAGCAAGCGUUCGCGCGCAGCAGGGGGGGCCUCUAUACGGGCGCAGUGCUAGCCCUAUGCGAACACCUGACAAAUGCCAAGUGUCACCGAUGCCAAAGGCGUACCAGCGCUAUUCUGGAAGAACAUGAACAUGGCAAGAGACGCGUAGCUCGCAACUGCCACCUUUACAUGAAAUGUAGCGACAACGUUCAGAGGCGGCGAGCUCGGGAGUUUAAACCUGCCAUCAACAUCCCUCAACAAACGACGACAGAACCUGAGUAGAAGUAGAGACUGGCGUA